AUUGAACGCUGGCGGCAUGCCUUACACAUGCAAGUCGAACGGUAACGGGCCUUCGGGUGCCGACGGGUGGCGAACGGGUGAGUAAUACAUCGGAACGUGCCCGAUCGUGGGGGAUAACGAGGCGAAAGCUUUGCUAAUACCGCAUACGAUCUACGGAUGAAAGCAGGGGACCGCAAGGCCUUGCGCGGACGGAGCGGCCGAUGGCAGAUUAGGUAGUUGGUGGGAUAAAAGCUUACCAAGCCGACGAUCUGUAGCUGGUCUGAGAGGAUGAUCAGCCACAGUGGGACGACACAGCGCCCCGGCCCCUGCGGGGAGGCACCGUGGGGGAAUUUGGACAAUGGGGCGCAGCCUUGACCCAGCCAGGCGGGGGGAAGGAGAAGGUCUUUGGGGUUGUAAAUUUUUUUUGAAGGGAAGAAAAACCCUUUUUUAAAAACGGGAGGGUCAGGAGGUUACCGAAAAAAAAAGCCCCGGCUAACUACGUG
rnacentral:rRNA from 1 species